GGCUGGUUAGCUCAAUCAGUUGAGCUUGGUGCUGACAACACUAAGGUUUGCGGGUUCGAUUCCCAUUCGGUCC
rnacentral:tRNA from 1 species